GUCCUCCUACGACGCGCUGACCUCGGCGAGCUUUAAGCACGUUCCUGUGGACGGACCAGCCGUGUGCAACCUGCUUGACGAUCCUGGACGCUGUCAAGUCUCCUUGGAACCUGUCAGGGGCGUGGAAGGGGGAGGCCCCGAAGGCGAGCCUAGCAGUGGCCUUACAAUGGCUCAGCUCGUCCGCUUCUGAUCACGGCCACAAUCCAAGGGCGCUGCAACACAAAAGAGCCGCAGCAGUUGAGCCGACCAGUUUGGCUGUUACCUGCCCAUAGCAAAGACGGACCUGUGGCGCUAGUCCUAGCGCUGUCGGACAGCUGAAAGGGGGCUCUCUGGUCGAACUGCUCUCUCCUGGGAACGGGACCUUGUUUUCAUAUGUGCAUGUCUCUACUGACCAAUAUUCACUGCAGACUACUCCUGACGGCCCUCUUCGGCUGGAAGUCUCCAAGGAACCUGUCAGGGGCGUGGAAGGGGGAGGCCCCGAAGACGAGUCUAGCAGUGGCCUUACAAUGGCUCAGCUCGUCCGCUUCUGAUCACGGCCACAAUCCAAGGGCGCUGCAACACAAAAGAGCCGCAGCAGUUGAGCCGACCAGUUUGGCUGUUACCUGCCCAUAGCAAAGACGGACCUGUGGCGCUAUCCUAGCGCUGUCGGACAGCUGAAAGGGGGCUCUCUGGUCGAACUGCUCUCUCCUGGGAACGGGACCUUGUUUUCAUUAUUGUGCAUGCCUCUACUGACCAAUAUUCACUGCAGACUACUCCUGACGGCCCUCUUCGGCUGGAAGUCUCCAUGGAACCUGUCAGGGGCGUGGAAGGGGGAGGCCCCGAAGGCGAGCCUAGCAGUGGCCUUACAAUGGCUCAGCUCGUCCGCUUCUGAUCACGGCCACAAUCCAAGGGCGCUGCAACACAAAAGAGCCGCAGCAGUUGAGCCGACCAGUUUGGCUGUUACCUGCCCAUAGCAAAGACGGACCUGUGGCGCUAGUCCUAGCGCUGUCGGACAGCUGAAAGGGGGCUCUCUGGUCGAACUGCUCUCUCCUGGGAACGGGACCUUGUUUUCA
rnacentral:lncRNA from 1 species